GAGUGCGAUCUGGCCAGCACUAAUGCAUCGGAUCAAAUCAUAAUUCCGUAGUUAAGUGUGCUUAGAGGAGAGUAGUACAGGGAUGGGUGACCUUAUAGUAAGUCCUCGUGUUGCACCUC
rnacentral:rRNA from 1 species